rnacentral:tRNA from 1 species
GUCAGGAUGGACAAGCGGUCUAAGGCGCUGCGUUAAGAUUGCAAUUUCCCCUGGAGGCGUGGGUUCAAAUGCCACUUCCGACA